GGUGAACGCUGGCGGUGUGCCUAAUACAUGCAAGUCGAACGACCACACGAUAAGCUUUCUCUUUUACCGUUAGCGGCGGACGGACGAGUAACGCAUGCAUCACCUUCUACUAUUACGGGGAUAAUUUCGUGGAAACGCUGCUACUACUACCGCAUAUAUUCUACCGCAUGUAUCAAUAGUUCUUCACGCUUUUCCUGUCUCUUUUAGCCGCUUCCGCACCGCAUUAGCUAGUUGGUAAGGUAACGCCUUACCAAGGCAACGAUGCGUAUCUGACCUGAGAGGGUGAUCGGCCACAAUGGAACUGAGACACGGUCCAGACUCCUACGGGAGGCAGCAGUAGGGAAUCUUGGGCAAUGGGCGAAAGCCUGACCGAGCAACACCGCGUGAGUGAAGAAGGUCUUCGGGUCGUAAAACUCUGUUGUUAGGGAAGAAAAGAAGUAGAAGUAACUAUGGAUGUCUUGACGGUACCCAAUCAGAAAGCCCCGGCUAACUACGUG
rnacentral:rRNA from 1 species